GGGGACUGUAGCUCAGUGGUGCAGCAUCUGCUUUGUAUGCAGAAGGACCCAGGUUCAAUCCCUGACAUCUCCA